CCCACCACCAUUAGUACACGUUAGCUUCCCCGUGCUGGUCUCAUCUACCCUGUUGUCACAACAAUGAUAUAUUUCUCUUUGUGGUUUUUCUCUGUUCGUUGUCAACGGUGCAAAAGGCUUUUUUACCUCCCACAUGAAGAACUCUUUUGAUCUCCAUUUUUCGGUCUUCCACGCCUCAUCUAUCACGGAACUUUUAAUAAAGGAGGUGACCCUUCAUGCCGUCGAUGUAAGACUCCAACAGGCCUCACGUUACAAGACCACACUCACUACGAGCGGCUCUGCUGACCCGUUUCGCCGGCGUCACUAAUCCAGCCAAAGGGGGAAUAACAUGUUGCAUGUGGCACAGUGAUCGGUCCAAACUGUCUCCAAGAUGUUGCCCACAAAGAUACAUGCGUGUUCCAGAUUGAGCCGAUCUACGAUCCUGCAUGUCUGCUCGUUGUAGAACCUCGAGAGAUCGAGAGCCCUUUUUGUUCCUUCUCGACGGCGUGUGUCUGAGAGACAGCAGGUGUUCAAAAGCCGCCACCUGAGUUUCUGUGCCGCUGGAAUUUCGUUACUCUAACAAUAACCCCCUGCCCCCACAUGAAAAACAUACAGUAUGUGCUUCUACAACAGGAGGGCUACUUGUCGGCCCCUCCUCCAUCUCCGCGGCAAUGGUUCACGUUUUAAGGACUACGGUAAUCUUUCGCUGGGAAGCUUCACUCGUUUCUGAAGUAGCAGCUGGACAGACGUUGCUCUCGCCCCGUCCUCGUCAAACCACUUCACAGGCCAUUCAAUUAGCUGCAGAAGCACGGGAGAUGGAGCCAUUACGGCGCUGAUGAGAUGCACAAGGACAGGUGACACUAAUCAGAGCGGCGCCCCAUUGUCUCUGUGUGGACAUCGCUGAGGAAAGAGAGUGAUUCCAGGCGGUUUUGCUUCCCUUUUCCCUCAAGCACACUCGAGCAAGCUGCAUGCAUUAGCUUCUUUUUGGUCAAUUUGCAAUAAGUGAAAAACAUACCGAUGGAAUGUGAAUGUGUUUGCCUCUAAAAUAGGUUUUAAAGUGUUCGAUCUCGUGACUGCCACGGCGAAGCUGUUGUCCGUGGGUACCAUCCACAGGAUUUACUCUCAACCCGUUUCCUGGUUACUGGUCCAGAAGAAGCCGAGACGUCCCCUCUUUCCUUUCGUCCACUUUCCCCCUCCGGUGAAGCGCGGCCUGCCUCUGCUGAGGCCUCGGACCGCUUUCAGCAGGCCAGGCUCGUCCCGUGCUCCUCGGGGCCUCUGGCCCGGAUCGUGAACGCGCUUUGCUCCGCCCGCCGGUAACAGCCGCUGAGGUAGCUGCACAGACACCUGAGGAAACACCACCCAAGUACAGACGUUAGGUGGGAACGGACUCGAGGGGCACGAGGUACGAUUGCUUCAGCCCACAUAUUUACCUAACCGCUGUGACGCAACCCCAAGGACUUAAUCCUAAUCUCAUUGCCAAGUCCCUCUCUGUAUCAACUGGGCCUUCGGAGUGUGUGGGAAACUACCCCUGGAAACCGGCCCUUUAGACCUUCGCUCCAUAUUAAUGUCAAUAAUAACAAUGAAUUUAAACUAUACAUUUUAUUCAAUCCUAUCUCAUAUAGAUUUCAUGUAUGUAUAUUUAAAUGGGGACACACGCUAUGUCAAUAAGAGGCGUUUGGAGGUGUUGUUAAGCAGGACUAUUCAAACCUUUGCCAACAAGCCAUUUGCACUGCUCCCAGUCUUUAUGCUAAGCUAAGCUAAACGUCUCCUGGUUUUACCUUCUCAUUUAACGGACUGAAUGGCUGAGGUUGACUUUUUCUUGCAGUGUACCAAAGAUCCGCUCUCCAGGGAAGGGAAGAUGUCAGCUGAAAUGUAUUUUUUCCAAUAUUCAGCUUCAACGGUAAACAAAGAGGCCCCUGAGGCCCCGCCUCCUCGCCUACCACCACGAUUGUUUAUUCAAAGUUCACGGAUAUUAAACAUGUCACCUGUUUAUAACCCAUUCAACGCUGCACUUCUUUGGUUACGAAGAACUAUAUUUUGCACGUGUGAAACAGAUUGAAGUAUAUA
ensembl:lncRNA